ACGCCUAUCAACUAGCCUGAAUCAACCAAAUUUUAAUAUUAUGAAAUCAAAAACUCAUAACAACUUAAACAAAACAUUUUAAACCCCAAGUACGGGAGACAGAAAGGAAAAUUAGAGCGAUAGAUAAAGUACCGCAAGGGAAAGCUGAAAGAGAAAUGAAACAAACCAUUUAAGCCCCCAAUAGCAGAGCUAAUCACUCGUACCUUUUGCAUCAUGAUUUAGCAAGUAAAAUACAAGCAAAGAGACCUUUAGUUUGUAACCCCGAAACUGAGCGAGCUACUCCGAGACAGCCUAUAAUAGGGCAAACCCGUCUCUGUGGCAAAAGAGUGGAAAGAUCUCCGAGUAGAGGUGACAAACCUACCGAGCACAGUUAUAGCUGGUUGCCUGGGAAAUGAAUAGAAGUUCAGCCCUUUAAGUUAUUCCUAAUCACUAAUGCCCAAAGCUAAUAUAAAGAUUAAAGGAAACUAAGGGAGUUAAUCAAAAGGGGUACAGCUCUUUUGAUAGAAGAAACAACUUUAACAGAUGAUUUAAGAUCAUA
rnacentral:rRNA from 1 species